rnacentral:rRNA from 1 species
GACGAACGCUGGCGGCGUGCUUAACACAUGCAAGUCGAACGAUGAAGCCGGAGCUUGCUCUGGUGAAUUAGUGGCGAACGGGUGAGUAACACGUGAGUAACCUGCCCUUGACUCUGGGAUAACUGCGGGAAACUGUAGCUAAUACCGGAUACGACCCUCGGAGGCAUCUCCUGGGGGUGGAAAGAAUUUCGGUCAAGGAUGGACUCGCGGCCUAUCAGCUAGUUGGUGGGGUAAAGGCACACCAAGGCGACGACGGGGAGCCGGCCUGAGAGGGUGACCGGCCACAGUGCGACUGAGGAUGGGGCCAGACUCCAAGUGGGGGCAGGGGUUGGGAAUAUUGCACAAGGGGCGCAAGCGUGGGGCAGCAACGCCGCGUGAGGGAUGUCGGUCUUCAGGGUGUAAACCUGUUUUGGCAGGUAAGAAGCGAAAGUGACGGUACCUGCAGAAAAAGCACCGGCUAACUACGUGCCAGCCGCCGCCGUAA